GGUAAAGGUAAACUAAUUCAUUUUUUCUCUCCAUCGAAUCCUCUACCUCCAUCACUAGAAAACGAACUCCUAUAAUCUUAAUCUUCUUGUAAUAUUCGUCGCUCUCAAAAUCCUAGAUAGAAAAUCCUUAAUUAGAAAACAAACUCACAGUUUCUUCUUGAAAUACGGCUUUUCGUUUGUUUUUUUCCUCAGGCCAUAAUUAAACAAGGGUGAGGUUGAAGAUUUGGAUGUAACCUUGAACCAUAACAAGAUAAUUUAAAGAUAAAAGUCGCGCUGCAUGCAAAGAAGGAGAGUUUAAAGGAUGGAGAAUCUGAUCACAUUGCAGCUCAGGCAUUUAUAUUUCUUGAUUGGCAGCUGCAACAAAGAAUUUCAGGGAAGAUUUGUUUAGUUGGUGGAGGUGGUGUUGGUGGAGUUUAUAAAGGGUGAUUGGAGAGUACAAACCAGGUUGUUGCUAUCAAGCAAAUUGAUCUGAAUGGAUUAUAAGGAAACAGGGAAUUCCUGAUUGAGGUUUUGAUAUUAAGUCUGUUUUACCGUCCUAACUUAGUCAAUCUAACAGGGUAUCGAGCGGACGGAGAUCAAAUACUUCUAGUCUACGAAUUCAUGGCUUUAGGAUCUUUAGAAGAUCACCUAGAUGACUUCCCACCUGACAGGAAACGACUUGACUGGAGCACAAGAUUGAAAAUUACAGCUGGUGCAACUACUUGGAUUAUUUGCAUGACAAGGCUAACCCCCUGUUGUAUACCGAGAUUUAAAAUGCUCAAAUAUUUCGCUUGAGGAGGAACACCAUCCUUAACUAUCUGGUUUUGGAUUGGCCAAACUGGUUCCUGAAUGGUAAACUUACAUUAGAAUAUUAUGUUUAUAGAUUUGGGGUUGUACUUUUGGAGAUGUUAACUAGCAAUUGGCAAUUCGAAAUCCGCAGGCUCAAGAGAAUGGACGGAACCCACCAAUUGAUGAUGAUGUGAUCGUUAAAACCCAUAUGAAUAAAUCCAGCAGAAAAGCUUCACGCCCUACAUAGUAAGUAUCGACUCUAAUGGAAUGAAAGCAUCAUUAAUGAAGUGCAUGGACUUCUUAUUCAUAAAAGUUCAGAUCCUUUAACCUAAAAAAAAAUUCUGAUAUACAUAAGUUCAAAUGAGGGAACAAUCUGGGUUGGCAAAUGAGAGAAGAAAAUGCAGAGUGGGAGAGACGAAUGAAAGCACGUGAUAAGGUGGCUAAGAUAUGUGAAAACCAAAUGGUCAUAAUUGUCUCAGCAAUGCUGGGCCUAGGAAUGGAAGACUGGAUGGAUUUAUCAUGGAAUUGAUCUAGGCUGAAGUAUAAAGGUUCUUUACUUUCAAAUGAAGCUAAUAUUGAAGUCAGUUGUCUCUCUUCCUCUUCACGUUUGAGUCAUACAUUGGAUGAUAAGAGUUACCAAUGUUGCAUCAUCUCUCGUGGCAGGUUUUUUUCUUCUGCAUUUUGUUAAAAUUGGAUUUCAUUAUACCCUGUAACAUACUUCGAAUUUUCGAUUUUGAAUCAAAUUCUGUGUAU